rnacentral:rRNA from 1 species
AGUUUGAUCAUGGCUCAGGAUGAACGCUAGCGGCAGGCUUAACACAUGCAAGUCGAGGGGCAGCGGGAUGUAGCAAUACAUUGCCGGCGACCGGCGGAUGGGUGCGUAACGCGUAUGCAACCUACCUUAUACAGGGGAAUAACCUUUCGAAAGGGAGACUAACACCCCAUGGUAUUGAUUUAAGGCAUCUUAGAUUAAUUAAAUAUUUAUAGGUAUAAGAUGGGCAUGCGUAUGAUUAGGCUAGUUGGUAAGGUAACGGCUUACCAAGGCGACGAUCAUUAGGGGUUCUGAGAGGAAGGUCCCCCACACUGGUACUGAGACACGGACCAGACUCCUACGGGAGGCAGCAGUGAGGAAUAUUGGUCAAUGGGCGCAAGCCUGAACCAGCCAUGCCGCGUGCAGGAAAGACGGCCUUAUGGGUUGUAAACUGCUUUUACAUAAGACUAACCGUAUUAUUUGGCGAAUAUACCUGAAUGUAUUAUGAGAAUAAGGAUCGGCUAACUCCGUGCCAGCAGCGGC